GUCUCAGUUCGGAUUGGAGUCUGCAACCCGACUCCAUGAAGCUGGAUUCGCUAGUAAUCGCGCAUCAGCCACGGCGCGGUGAAUACGUUCCCGGGCCUUGUACACACCGCCCGUCAAGCCAUGGAAGCCGGGGGUGCCUGAAGUGCGCUGCCGCGAGGAGCGCCCUAGGGUAAAACCGGUGACUGGGGCUAAGUCGUAACAAGGUAUC
rnacentral:rRNA from 1 species